rnacentral:lncRNA from 1 species
UGUCUAUCACAGAUCCCAGAUCAUAGGAAUGCAGUCAUUGUGGUCAAGUCUCCAUCCUCAGCUAAGAGGUAGGUGAGAUCUCGUACCUGUCCUUGGUCCUGCUUCUGAGGAUGGUUCUGAUCAAGUCCCAGGAGUUCCCAAUCAGAUGUUAGUGGUACCCCUGGAAUCCCUUCUUGCUCUUCCAUGUACUGAUUUUAAGAUUGUCCUGUCAACUCUUAUUUAUUUUGAGUUGAUUUCCCCUCCCCUCCUCAUUGCAGCCAGUGACUGCCAGUCAUAUUUCUUGACCAAAGCCAUCCAGGUCUGGGGAGUAUUAAUUAGCACCUCCUUCCCUUCCAGAUGGGCAAGCACUUGUGGGUCUUUAAAUCUGCCAGUUAAAAUACUGGUGAAUAUACCUUGUGGUUGUUUGCUGCCUCUUAUUCAAAGAACUAAGUAACUUAUUAACAGAAAUGUAUCCAGUUGAGAGGCUACAUAUUUAUAUAUGUUAAAAGGUAACAUUUUAAGAAACUGAAGCUCCCUGAGCUAUACAAAGAGGGCAGCCCCGAGUCUGUACAGUGAGUUAUGUUUAGCGUGAAGUAACCGCUGAGUCAGGGAUUCAGUACUUAAAAUUGGACUUUGGAUGACAGAAUUUCAUAUGGCAUUAUUUUCUAGAGAAGCCAGUCCAUUGGAGAGAGAAGGAACAAAAGCACAGGUAGGAAUAA